rnacentral:rRNA from 1 species
UGCCAGCAGCCGCGGUAAUACGUAUGGUGCAAGCGUUAUCCGGAAUCACUGGGCGUAAAGGGAGCGUAGGCGGUUUUGCAAGUCAGAAGUGAAAGGCUACGGCUCAACCGUAGUAAGCUUUUGAAACUGGUGAACUUGAGUACGGGAGAGGAAAGUGGAAUUCCGAGUGUAGGGGUGAAAUCCGUAGAUAUUCGGAGGAACACCAGUGGCGAAGGCGGCUUUCUGGACCGAUACUGACGCUGAGACGCGAAAGCGUGGGGAGCAAACAGGAUUAGAUA